rnacentral:rRNA from 1 species
GGUUAACCGAAUAGGGGAGCCGAAGGGAAACCGAGUCUUAACUGGGCGUUAAGUUGCAGGGUAUAGACCCGAAACCCGGUGAUCUAGCCAUGGGCAGGUUGAAGGUUGGGUAACACUAACUGGAGGACCGAACCGACUAAUGUUGAAAAAUUAGCGGAUGACUUGUGGCUGGGGGUGAAAGGCCAAUCAAACCGGGAGAUAGCUGGUUCUCCCCGAAAGCUAUUUAGGUAGCGCCUCGUGAAUUCAUCUCCGGGGGUAGAGCACUGUUUCGGCAAGGGGGUCAUCCCGACUUACCAACCCGAUGCAAACUGCGAAUACCGGAGAAUGUUAUCACGGGAGACACACGGCGGGUGCUAACGUCCGUCGUGAAGAGGGAAACAACCCAGACCGCCAGCUAAGGUCCCAAAGUCAUGGUUAAGUGGGAAACGAUGUGGGAAGGCCCAGACAGCCAGGAUGUUGGCUUAGAAGCAGCCAUCAUUUAAAGAAAGCGUAAUAGCUCACUGGUCGAGUCGGCCUGCGCGGAAGAUGUAACGGGGCUAAACCAUGCACCGAAGCUGCGGCAGCGACACUGUGUGUUGUUGGGUAGGGGAGCGUUCUGUAAGCCUGUGAAGGUGUACUGUAAGGUAUGCUGGAGGUAUCAGAAGUGCGAAUGCUGACAUAAGUAACGAUAAAGCGGGUGAAAAGCCCGCUCGCCGGAAGACCAAGGGUUCCUGUCCAACGUUAAUCGGGGCAGGGUGAGUCGACCCCUAAGGCGAGGCCGAAAGGCGUAGUCGAUGGGAAACAGGUUAAUAUUCCUGUACUUGGUGUUACUGCGAAGGGGGGACGGAGAAGGCUAUGUUGGCCGGGCGACGGUUGUCCCGGUUUAAGCGUGUAGGCUGGUUUUCCAGGCAAAUCCGGAAAAUCAAGGCUGAGGCGUGAUGACGAGGCACUACGGUGCUGAAGCAACAAAUGCCCUGCUUCCAGGAAAAGCCUCUAAGCAUCAGGUAACAUCAAAUCGUACCCCAAACCGACACAGGUGGUCAGGUAGAGAAUACCAAGGCGCUUGAGAGAACUCGGGUGAAGGAACUAGGCAAAAUGGUGCCGUAACUUCGGGAGAAGGCACGCUGAUAUGUAGGUGAAGUCCCUCGCGGAUGGAGCUGAAAUCAGUCGAAGAUACCAGCUGGCUGCAACUGUUUAUUAAAAACACAGCACUGUGCAAACACGAAAGUGGACGUAUACGGUGUGACGCCUGCCCGGUGCCGGAAGGUUAAUUGAUGGGGUCAGCGCAAGCGAAGCUCUUGAUCGAAGCCCCGGUAAACGGCGGCCGUAACUAUAACGGUCCUAAGGUAGCGAAAUUCCUUGUCGGGUAAGUUCCGACCUGCACGAAUGGCGUAAUGAUGGCCAGGCUGUCUCCACCCGAGACUCAGUGAAAUUGAACUCGCUGUGAAGAUGCAGUGUACCCGCGGCAAGACGGAAAGACCCCGUGAACCUUUACUAUAGCUUGACACUGAACAUUGAGCCUUGAUGUGUAGGAUAGGUGGGAGGCUUUGAAGUGUGGACGCCAGUCUGCAUGGAGCCGACCUUGAAAUACCACCCUUUAAUGUUUGAUGUUCUAACGUGGACCCGUGAUCCGGGUUGCGGACAGUGUCUGGUGGGUAGUUUGACUGGGGCGGUCUCCUCCUAAAGAGUAACGGAGGAGCACGAAGGUUGGCUAAUCCUGGUCGGACAUCAGGAGGUUAGUGCAAUGGCAUAAGCCAGCUUGACUGCGAGCGUGACGGCGCGAGCAGGUGCGAAAGCAGGUCAUAGUGAUCCGGUGGUUCUGAAUGGAAGGGCCAUCGCUCAACGGAUAAAAGGUACUCCGGGGAUAACAGGCUGAUACCGCCCAAGAGUUCAUAUCGACGGCGGUGUUUGGCACCUCGAUGUCGGCUCAUCACAUCCUGGGGCUGAAGUAGGUCCCAAGGGUAUGGCUGUUCGCCAUUUAAAGUGGUACGCGAGCUGGGUUUAGAACGUCGUGAGACAGUUCGGUCCCUAUCUGCCGUGGGCGCUGGAGAACUGAGGGGGGCUGCUCCUAGUACGAGAGGACCGGAGUGGACGCAUCACUGGUGUUCGGGUUGUCAUGCCAAUGGCACUGCCCGGUAGCUAAAUGCGGAAGAGAUAAGUGCUGAAAGCAUCUAAGCACGAAACUUGCCCCGAGAUGAGUUCUCCCUGACCCUUUAAGGGUCCUGAAGGAACGUUGAAGACGACGACGUUGAUAGGCCGGGUGUGUAAGCGCAGCGAUGCGUUGAGCUAACCGGUACUAAUGAACCGUGAGGCUUAACCUUACAACGCCGAAGGUGUUU